UUCAAAUGGAGGGAUGCAGCUUUAAACUUUCAUUACUUUUGAAAUUAAGAUAAAUGUAUAAUUAAUCAAACAUGAUAAGGAUAUUGCAUCGGAUAUUUGUAUUUAUUUGGCAACUUAUUUCAGUCAAAUGGAAUCUAUUCAAAAGGAAUUCCGUCUAAUCCUAUUAAUUCCAUUCACACAAUUGCUCCUCAUCCCUCACAAUGUUAAUUGUCUGGAAAACCUUCUUUUUAUGAUUGUGGGUGGACGACUUUCAGACCUUGGAAUGACUUAUAACCUAUAAUUAAUUAUAUCGGCGUGACAAAAUAAGAAUAUAUAAUAUUUAUCCCCAUCUAGGGUCAAUGAAAUAUUAUUAUUUCAUUGAAAAACUAGAAGAAUAAAUUCUGUUUGCUUCCAUUGAAUUGCAUAUAGAAUGGUAUAUAUUCAAACACAUGAAACUUGCUGGAAACGGGAAACUUACCAGUAAUUAUUUAUAAGAUGUAUUAUAAUCAAAAGCCGAAAAUAUAACAGGAGAGUCUGCAUGUCUCUUUGUUUUUUAGUUCAAAAGUUUCGCCGAAACUGUCAGAUGGAUUCUCCUCUACCAAGCAGCACAUGGUGUUAGGUCAUGACUGAAGAAAAAGCUUUAAUUCUUUUUAUAGAGUACUAAUCGACAUAAUUGAAUUGAGAAUGUUUUUAUUAUAUUCUUGAAGGGAUGCCCACCAUUUCUAUCACCAAAAUCAAAGGAGAAGUUUCUUUCUCUUUCUGCGGAAAUUAGAACAAAACUAAAGUCACAUGCAUUAUUGUCGUCCUACAACAACCCAAAAGAGAAGGUUGCAAAAUUGUAAAGAAGAGGUGGUUGUAAUGAUUCUAUAUACCUGAUGCCAAAAUGUGGCAUCAUGGCAUUUUAAUGUACUUUUAAGGUAACGCAUAUCUGCAACUAGACAUCAUAAACAAGUAGAUUGGGUUAAGUACAA